rnacentral:lncRNA from 1 species
CAUCACUUGGUAACAUAGUUUGGGUCUUCCGGUCCAACAAGACUAGCAAGGAUGGCUUCAACAGAUCUUGUCAAUGUCGCAUCUAGCUUGAUAGGCCCCGUGGAGCAGUACUGCUCGAAGAUUGAAAACAUAGUUUGGACAUCAUCGUUGUUUCAACAUUCAUACGGGUGAAAGUAACGCGUCCGUCAGAACCAAUCGAUGGCUUUCGAUACAGGAGAUUUGAAACCAUUCUAUUGUCGUUCUGGUUGUUGACGGUGCGAUUCAAUUGGUACAACUGCUGUUUCAGACCUUCAAACGUUUCACCAUCAUUGAUUCGAAACAAAUUCGGUUUUCCAUUGCCGAAGUAAACUGCCGCAAGAGUAGAUCUCAUUCGUUGUGUGAGUGAGACAUCCAUUUUCCUUUUU